rnacentral:lncRNA from 1 species
CUCCUGGUCACCAGCAAACUGAUACUGCUGUAGUGGGAAUCCUUGGGCAGCCUGGGAAAUCAGGCCAAGGCUUGUGGAUCCGCUGUUUCCACUGCUGGGAGGAGGAGGAGGAGGAGGAGGAGAGGUGAGCUGGGUGGGAGGGUCCCUCAGGGGAGGUGCCUUGGGCUUGGAAAGCAGGAGCACUUCAUUUCUCUCAGGUUUCUUGCUUUCCUGACCCACAGAGCUGUGGGUGCAGGAUGGAGAGUGGGAGCUGCUGGGAGAAUGUUGUUUCUCUUGGCAGUGACUGCUUGGACUUACUGAAGAGUGAUGUCCUCUGGGUGUGAGAAUUAUGGGUACCCUUGUUGAGUAAACCAAAAGAUUAAUGAAGUUCUUGAGGCCUUGUAAUUCAGCUCUGCUGCAGACCCAAAACUGAUGCGUGAAGUGAGCCCUUCCAGCUGUUUCACCAAAUCAUCUGUAGGGAACAAGGUAACUUUGAUUAGUGACUCUGACAAGUGGUCUGGAGCUUUUUUCUUAGUAAUGAAGAAAAGAAAUGGGGAAUCAGUUGCUGAUUAUGACUGUUGUGCAGAGUUUUGAAAUAAAACCAGUGGUAUGUGGCUGAACUUGCCUGAU